GAGAAAAGUCGUUCUUCACUUUUCUGUGUAAACAGUGGUAAGAACGAAUCACCAAAUGAAUGACUAGGUGAGAGCUAUAUCAAUUGGUAAAGAUGAAACACGAGCUGAAACAGAAGAGUUGUUUACUUUUAUUCUUAAAUAAUCAAUAUAUAAAAAUGCAUAUUUUAAGUGGGGGGAGGCCUCUUAUCUGGUACUUGUAGUCGCCUUCCAGAGUCCAAGUGACCCGAUCGCCAUAUUUCCUGCAAAUUUUCCUUGGAGAAGAGCUCUCUUUUCAAGUCCUUUUUAGCUGUGGGCUCGUGUGUUUUUUUCACUUCUUCAACAUUAUUUCAUUUUCAGGUGUUAUGUUUAAUAAAAUUGGAAGCAUUUUUGUUGGAUGAAAAAUGCUGCUACCGCUAUCUUGCAGCCAUGCUUUUGCCGCUUUUAGUUGGUGUAUUGAUCAUAUUGGAAGAUGAGGUUGUGUUUUCUGGACUUUGUUGGGUUGUGAUGUGAUGGCAAUCGACGUAGUCACUAGUGCCUCAUUUGUUCCGGCUUCAGAGAUUCUUUCUCAGACUGUAGAGGCCAUUCUCGAGAUUGUGGUUUCUGCAAAUGAUGUUCUCUUUAAGAAAGAUAGUUUUAAAAAACUUGCAUCUUACUUAGAGAGAAUUGUCCCAGUUUUGAAAGAGUUGAAAGGAAAAUGUAUUUCUAAUUCUGAGAGCUUGAACAAUGCUAUUCAGAUUCUCAAUCGUGAAAUAAAAGCUGCGAAGCAACUAACUGCAGAAUGCAGCACAAAAAGCAAAGUAUAUCUCUUGAUGAAUAGUCGUGGGAUAGUCAGGCGCCUAGAAGGUACCAUGAGAGAGAUAAGCAGGGGAUUAAGUCUCCUUCCAUUGGCAUCUUUAGAACUUUCUUCAGCUAUAGUUGUAGAAAUUGGAAACCUCUGUGAUAGUAUGCAGAAGGCCGAGUUCAAGGCUGCUAUAACAGAAGAAGAGAUCUUAGAGAAAAUUGAGACAGGCAUACAGGAGAGGAAUGCUGAUCGUUCUUAUGCAAACAAUCUGCUGGUUCUCAUUGCAGAAGCUGUUGGGAUACCUACUGAGAGAUCGGCUUUAAAAAGGGAAUUUGAAGACUUCAAAAGUGAGAUUGAAAAUGUCAGGCUUAGGAAGGACAAGGCUGAAGCUAUACAAAUGGAUCAGAUAAUUGCUUUGUUGGAAAGGGCUGAUGCUGCUUCUUCUCCUAAAGAGAAAGAGAUGAAGUAUUUCACUAAGCGGAAAUCUUUGGGUAGUCAACCGCUGGAGCCUCUCCAAUCAUUUUAUUGUCCAAUCACUCGCGAUGUAAUGGUAGAUCCUGUGGAGACUUCAUCUGGACAGACAUUUGAGAGAAGUGCUAUAGAGAAGUGGUUUACAGAGGGGAACAACUUAUGCCCUUUGACUAUGACUCCCCUAGACACAUCAAUCCUACGCCCUAACAAAACACUGAGGCAGUCAAUAGAAGAGUGGAAGGACAGAAACACAAUGAUAACAAUUGCUUCAAUGAAACCCAAUCUCACAUCUGGAGAUGAGGAAGAAGUGCUUCAAUGUCUAGGACAGCUAAAGGAUCUUUGUGAACAGAGAGACAUGCACCGAGAGUGGGUGAUCUUGGAGAACUAUAUAUCAGUUCUUAUUCAACUUCUUGGUGGAAAAAAUCGUGAUAUAAGGAAUCGUGUUCUUGUCAUACUUCACAUUUUGACAAAAGAUAGUGAUGAUGCAAAGGAUAGAGUGGCAAAAGUUGAUGGUGCAAUUGAACUUGUAGUUCGUUCCUUGGGGCGUCGCACAGAUGAAAGGAGGUUAGCAGUGGCAUUACUUUUGGAUUUAUCAAAAUAUAACGUCUUAAGAGACAGCAUUGGGAAGGUUCAGGGUUGUAUUCUCCUUUUGGUGACAAUGGCAAGUGGUGAUGACUAUCAAGCUGCCAGAGAUGCCGAGGAAAUAUUGGAAAACCUGUCAUAUUCUGAUCAGAACGUCAUACAGAUGGCAAGGGCAAACUAUUUUAAACAUUUGCUCCAGCGUUUGUCAACUGGACCAGAUGAUGUAAAACUAAUCAUGGCAACAGCUAUAGCUGAAAUGGAGUUAACUGACCAUAAUAAAGUGGUAUUGUUAGAAAGAGGUGCAUUGCGUCCACUUCUUAACUGGGUCUCUCAUGGUGGUAUUCAAAUGAAAAGUGUAGCUGUUAAAGCUCUUCGAAACCUCUCAAGCGUACCAAAAAAUGGCUUGCAGAUGAUCAAAGAAGGUGCAUCCCGCCCAUUACUUGACCUCCUCCAUCUUGGCUCAUCAUCCUCAGCAUUACGAGAACAAGUCGCCGCAACGGUUAUGCACCUUGCAGUAUCCACUAUGUCACAAGAAUCCACUGAGACUCCAGUUUCUUUAUUGGAAUCUGAUGAGGAUGUUUUCAUGGUCUUCUCUUUGAUUAGCCUGACUGGACCAGAAAUCCAACAAAACCUCCUGCAAAUCUUUCAGGCGUUGUGCCAAUCCCCCUCUGCAGCAUAUAUCAAGACCAAGCUGACACAGUGCUUAGCCAUCCAAGUGCUAAUCCAGUUGUGCGAAUGUGAUAUUGGAAAUGUACGGCUGAAUGCUGUGAAGCUUUUCUGUUUUUUGGUGAAGGAUGGUGACGAAGCCACUAUCCUGGAGCAUGUGCGCCAGAAAUGCAUUGAGACUUUACUUAGGAUUAUCCAGUCUUUUAAUGAUGACGAAGAAGUUGCUUCUGCAGUGGGCAUAAUUGCUAACCUUCCUGAAAAUGACCAGAUCACUCAGUGGCUUGUGGAUGCUGGUGCAAUUCCAAUCAUUUUUCGUUUUCUUCGCAGUGGUAGACUUAAUGAUUCCAAUAGAAGUCAGCUAGUAGACAGUGCUGUUGGAGCCAUCUGCCGUUUUACUGCUCCAACAAAUCUGGAAUGGCAAAAGAGAGCAGCUGAAGCCGAUGUUAUCCCCAUGUUAGUUCAAUUGUUGGAUUCAGGAACCACCUUGACCAAAUAUCAUGCAGCCACUUCUCUGUCUCGUUUUUCACAGAGUUCUCUUCAGCUAAGCCGGACAAUACCAAAGAAAAAGGGGUUCUGGUGCUUGUCAGCUCCACCAGAGACUGCUUGCCCGGUUCAUGGAGGAAUUUGUUCUGUUGUGUCAUCAUUUUGCCUUCUUGAGGCUGAUGCAGUGAUACCACUUGCAAGGGUUCUUGAAGGAACAGAUGCCGGAGUGUGUGAAGCAUCUUUAGAUGCACUAUUGACUUUAAUUGAAGGUGAAAGACUUCAAAAUGGUAGUAAGGUGCUAGCAGAAGCAAAUGCAAUUACUCCAAUGAUAAGAUGUCUUAGUUCACCUUCCCUCAGACUGCAGGAGAAAGCUCUGCAUGCUUUGGAAAGGAUUUUCCGGCUGCCUGAGUUCAAGCAGAAGUAUGGUCCAGCUGCUCAGAUGCCUUUAGUAGAUUUAACACAGCGAGGCAAUAGUAGUAUGAAGUCUCUUUCAGCCAGGAUACUUGCUCACUUGAAUGUACUUCAUGACCAAUCUUCCUAUUUCUAAAGAAUUCAACGCCUUUUGACUUUCUUGAAUCAUAUCUGAGGAGGAAGGACUGGCCACAUUAUUCACCUUGAUGAUUUAUUUUGCAAGAACCGCAAUACUGGUGUGCAUGCUCAGGCUUGAACCAUAAUAUUUCAGAAUGGGCAUACCUUUCUUCUCAAUAAUAGGUGCAUAUUGACGGAUUCACCUUGAAAGCUAAGCAAGAACUAUCAACCAACUCCAUUGUUGUGGAUAGAUGUUUCGAUGCAGCACCAUGAUACCCAAGAUGAUAGACAUCAAGUUUGUGCUUUUUCUGUUGAGGAACCGUCGCAGUUUCUGUUAGCAUGCACUCAUGGAGCGUACUGGUGGCGUAAGGAGAGAACUUUUCGAAUCAAUGGCUGGACCAUUGCAGAAGCUCAAACAGCUCAGCCUCCCUCCCAGCACGAACCUGUAGCAUUAACCAUGUAGUCUAUGAUUUGCCCUGAAAUAUUAUUUCCAUUUGAAAACAAUUCUGUUAUACGAAUUGUCAGGUCUACACAGUGAGGGGAGUUAAAAUGUCUAUUUAUUAAAUUUCUAUAAAUAAACUUAUCUAUUUCCUUUAGAUUAUAACAAAA